CUCUCUCUCUCUCUCUCUCUUACCUCUUUCCUUUCAUGUACUGGUACCUAUGCCGUUUACGUCAAGUCCAUGAAUACUAAAUGAUAAACGAAUGUUAUCAGCAAGUAUUUCUUCUAACAUCUAUUGUAAUUUUCAACUAGGGCAGUUAAUAGUUUCUUUGUUUUUUAUUAAUGUCAUGAGUAUCGAAUAUACUCAUUGGCAAUGUGAAAUUUUUGCCAUAACCUAAAUUAAAUUUCAUUAAUAUUAAAUAAGAUUACAUAAAAAAGAGCCCAAUUAUAAUGAAAUAAUAAAAAAAAGAUAAUUUUCGGAUUACCGUGUCACCAACAAAUAGUGACCAUUAUUUAACAAGUUGACUUCGUGUAAAUAAAAAUAAAUAAUAGAAGGACCAUAGAGGAAAAAAUAGGACUUGGUUUUUUUUUUUUACCUUAAAAA
rnacentral:lncRNA from 1 species